rnacentral:rRNA from 1 species
AUGAAGCUUGGCGGCAGGUUUCGUAGGAUCGUCAGCGUUGGUGUGCACUACACCAAUGAAGAUGAACCUCCCCAGAUGGCAGCAGUCUUGCACUUGUGCGUCGACGAACUCUACUUGGUGUACCACAUUGCAGCGGCCACAAAAUGGCCCAAGCGCCUCAAAGACUUCCUGCAGGAGGAGAAAUUGUACACAUUUGUCGGUUUCAGCAUUGGAGGUGACAAGCGGAUGCUGGGGGAGUCUGGUUUGGAAAUCAACCCCAACAACUUCAUCGACAUGAAGCGCAAGUGGAAGGAUCCAAAGACCAAAAAAUACUACAACUGCUUGGCCGAUGUUGCAGGUGGCGUCAUCCACCCAUUCUACGGAGGCAUGAAGAAGAAGAUGAACAGGGAAGACCACAAACUGUGGGGGACCAGCCCGCUGCCAGACAACCUCAUCACGUACGCAGGAAUAGAUGCGUACGCAACGUACAAGUCAUGGAAGACAAUCGACAACAUCGUGACAGGUUGGGAUAUUUCAAAAGAGCAGGAGGCUGACCCCUACUACCACUGCAACUUCGCGGAUGAAGAUGCAUGA